rnacentral:rRNA from 1 species
UACAGAGGGUGCAAACGUUGCUCGGAAUCAUUGGGCGUAAAGCGCACGUAGGCGGUCCGAUAAGUCGGUAGUGAAAGCCCUCGGCUUAACCGAGGAAGUGCUAUCGAAACUGUCGGACUUGGAUACCGGAGAGGAUCGCGGAAUUCCCGGUGUAGAGGUGAAAUUCGUAGAUAUCGGGAGGAACACCAGUGGCGAAGGCGGCGAUCUGGACGGAUAUUGACGCUGAGGUGCGAAAGCCAGGGGAGCAAACGGG